GACGAACGCUUGCGGCGUGCUUAACACAUGCAAGUCGAACGGAAAGGCCCUGCUUUUGUGGGGUGCUCGAGUGGCGAACGGGUGAGUAACACGUGAGUAACCUGCCCUUGACUUUGGGAUAACUUCAGGAAACUGGGGCUAAUACCGGAUAGGAGCUCCUGCUGCAUGGUGGGGGUUGGAAAGUUUCGGCGGUUGGGGAUGGACUCGCGGCUUAUCAGCUUGUUGGUGGGGUAGUGGCUUACCAAGGCUUUGACGGGUAGCCGGCCUGAGAGGGUGACCGGCCACAUUGGGACUGAGAUACGGCCCAGACUCCUACGGGAGGCAGCAGUGGGGAAUAUUGCACAAUGGGCGGAAGCCUGAUGCAGCAACGCCGCGUGCGGGAUGACGGCCUUCGGGUUGUAAACCGCUUUCGCCUGUGACGAAGCGUGAGUGACGGUAAUGGGUAAAGAAGCACCGGCUAACUACGUGCCAGCAGCCGCGGUGAUACGUAGGGUGCGAGCGUUGUCCGGAUUUAUUGGGCGUAAAGGGCUCGUAGGUGGUUGAUCGCGUCGGAAGUGUAAUCUUGGGGCUUAACCCUGAGCGUGCCUUCGAUACGGGUUGACUUGAGGAAGGUAGGGGAGAAUGGAAUUCCUGGUGGAGCGGUGGAAUGCGCAGAUAUCAGGAGGAACACCAGUGGCGAAGGCGGUUCUCUGGGCCUUUCCUGACGCUGAGGAGCGAAAGCGUGGGGAGCGAACAGGCUUAGAUACCCUGGUAGUCCACGCUGUAAACGGUGGGUACUAGGUGUGGGGUCCAUUCCACGGGUUCCGUGCCGUAGCUAACGCUUUAAGUACCCCGCCUGGGGAGUACGGCCGCAAGGCUAAAACUCAAAGGAAUUGACGGGGCCCCGCACAAGCGGCGGAGCAUGCGGAUUAAUUCGAUGCAACGCGUAGAACCUUACCUGGGUUUGACAUGGAUCGGGAGUGCUCAGAGAUGGGUGUGCCUCUUUUGGGGUCGGUUCACAGGUGGUGCAUGGCUGUCGUCAGCUCGUGUCGUGAGAUGUUGGGUUAAGUCCCGCAACGAGCGCAACCCUUGUUCACUGUUGCCAGCACGUUAUGGUGGGGACUCAGUGGAGACCGCCGGGGUCAACUCGGAGGAAGGUGGGGAUGACGUCAAGUCAUCAUGCCCCUUAUGUCCAGGGCUUCACGCAUGCUACAAUGGCUGGUACAGAGAGUGGCGAGCCUGUGAGGGUGAGCGAAUCUCGGAAAGCCGGUCUCAGUUCGGAUUGGGGUCUGCAACUCGACCUCAUGAAGUCGGAGUCGCUAGUAAUCGCAGAUCAGCAACGCUGCGGUGAAUACGUUCCCGGGGCU
rnacentral:rRNA from 1 species